rnacentral:misc_RNA from 1 species
CAAGAAUGUCCAAUGAGUGGCCAUUUGUGCCAUUUGGAAAUCUUGCAUUUCCCAAAGCAAUAUGGCCUUUGAGAACUGCAGUAUAACAAGCUUUCUCAUGUGCUGAAGGUAAUCCAAAAUGGACUGUCCGCGUGAUAUCGGUUGUUCCGUCCAAAUACUGAGCUCCCGAGUCAAAAAGAUAGAUGCUUUCAGGAUCCAACUCAGCACAUGUCUCUGCUUGUGGUCCAUAAUGAAUAAUUGCAGCAUUUGAACCAACAGAUGAAAUAG